UGGUCUUAGAUUGUGGUGUGGCAGGGC
rnacentral:piRNA from 1 species